rnacentral:rRNA from 1 species
CGUGUCGUGAGAUGUUGGGUUAAGUCCCGCAACGAGCGCAACCCUCGCCUUUAGUUGCCAGCACGUUUGGGUGGGCACUCUAGAGGAACUGCCGGUGACAAGCCGGAGGAAGGUGGGGAUGACGUCAAGUCCUCAUGGCCCUUAUGUCCUGGGCUACACACGUGCUACAAUGGCGGUGACAGUGGGAAGCCAAGCAGCGAUGCUGAGCUGAUCCUGAAAAGCCGUCUCAGUUCGGAUUGCACUCUGCAACUCGGGUGCAUGAAGGUGGAAUCGCUAGUAAUCGCGGAUCAGCAUGCCGCGGUGAAUACGUUCCCGGGCCUU